rnacentral:rRNA from 1 species
UACGGAGGAUGCGAGCGUUAUCCGGAUUUAUUGGGUUUAAAGGGUGCGUAGGUUGUUUUUUAAGUCAGCGGUGAAAGUUUGUGGCUCAACCCCGUCGUGCCGUUGAAACUGGCGUUCUUGAGUGAGCGAGAAGUAUGCGGAAUGCGUGGUGUAGCGGUGAAAUGCAUAGAUAUCACGCAGAACUCCGAUUGCGAAGGCAGCAUACCGGCGCUCAACUGACGCUCAUGCACGAAAGCGUGGGUAUCGAACAGG